CAUUUCAACAAAAACCAAUGUUUUUGAGGUAAAACAUUUGUAGCAACUUUUAUUUUAUUUUGUAAGUUGCUUUAUAUGAAUGCAUGUUUAUGUAAAAAAUUGUAUUGCAUCAACUAAGGAGUCUGCUACUAUUACCUACAUUUAUGUGCUUGUAGAAUAAUUGUUUCUCACACCAGUACACAUUGCUCAACUCACUAAAGAGUUUAGGCAAUGGAGGUUACCAUUUUUAAAGUUAAAAACAGAAAAUGAUUUCAUUGCUGAAUUGACUUGGAUUCUUUCCAUUUACUUGCCAGUUAUUUCACAAUACCAAUACCCAUGUACCUGUAUUCAGUACAAUGCAAUGGAACCUAUGUUAUAAUAAGUAGCAUAAUAACCGAGAUAGACUGUAUCUACGCUAAUAACCAAUCCUCUUGUAAAAUGUAUUACAAUAUCUACAGUAUUACAUAUAAUAAAAGAAAUGCAAUUUGUAUCUUAUGAAAAUAUCUACAGUAUAUAUGUUUUGGUAAAAUUAGCAUCAUGAUUGCAAAGGAAAACGAACAAAACCGACCCGCUAGUGCUGUCAACCUGCUGAAAAAUGGAACCUAUUUGAAGAUUUCUAUGUAUAUACUUUGUACAUACUAAGUGUAAGUCUAUAUAUAACAACGUGCAAUAAUUUGAGCUAGUUCAUUCUGUGUCCUCCGUGGGUCUGUGUGUUUGUGAGCAGGGAUAUGGUGCCUCUCCGCUAUAUGCAAUCAUCGUCCUGUCGUGCCAUAUUACGCUCCAUAGUGUCACCCCCCGUGUAUCUCCUCAUUGUCAUGUUUUUGCAUUGUUCUUGUUCAGAAUUGUGUUAGUUCUUAGAAGUUUGUCAAAUGAAGGACUAAUUAAUGAUUAAAAAAUACAAUUACA
rnacentral:misc_RNA from 1 species